rnacentral:misc_RNA from 1 species
GAUGAAGAACGCAGCGAAAUGCGAUAAGUAAUGUGAAUUGCAGAAUUCAGUGAGUCAUCGAAUCUUUGAACGCACAUUGCGCCCUGUGGUAUUCCGCAGGGCAUGCCUGUUCGAGCGUCAUUUCAACCCUCAAGCCCCGCUUGGUGUUGGGCCCCGCCCGCCGUGGCCGGCCCUAAAGACAGUGGCGGCGCCGCCUGGCCCUCAGCGUAGUACAGCUCUCGCUCCAGGGUCCGGCGGCCGCCUGCCAGAACCCCCCAACUCUGUGGUUGACCUCGGAUCAGGUAGGGAUACCCGCUGAACUUAAGCAUAUCAAUAAGCGGAGGA